rnacentral:sRNA from 1 species
AGGACCCGGGGCGGGGCCGAGCGCAGCUUCCCCAAAGUGCAGGCGCGGUGAAACCAUCGAGACGGAGGGCCAGAGAGUCACGGCGGAUCUUUGUCUACGAUGUGACGAUCCGUGGAGAAAGUAGCAGAUGGGCAGAUUUUCAGUUGCGGAGAAUGAGGGAGAAAAGAACGGGCAUUCCGAGCCAAGAGCACUGCAUGAGCAAGGAGCUGGGAGGUUGCUUACUUGUUGAACAUAUUUGUUGCAUAUUUGCGUAUUUGCUAAACAGGUAGUGUUAGGAGCUAAUCCAUGAAAGGUAGGCGGGCGCCGUAUUGUAGAGGGCCUUGAGUCCCAGGCUGAGUUUAUACCCAAUUCAGGGGUCUGUUGGGAGCCAGCCAUUGAAGGUGCUGGAGCAGAGAGAGAUAUGGAAUUGGAGCUGAUCCCUAUGAUGAAAUAUCUGGACCCUUGUGUAGCUGUUCCGUGAAGCAGGAGGUGAAGACCUAUUAAAAUGCCAUUUCAAGAACUACGAUUUUAAAGACAGUUUAGGUGGGAGGUAAUAAAGGUCCAAACAAGACAUUAGAUAUUGGGGACAUAAGGGAGAGGAUAUUUGGAGGACAUUACUCAUAACAAGACACAGCGUUACUGACAAGUCAACGGACGCUUCUCCCU